UUUUAUCCUAAAUAUCAAUAUGGUGUUUGUAAGUUAGUUUGUGAUGUUUGAAUUUGUGGAUACUAUAUUACAAUUUUCAUUUCUUUUCUUUAGUUUCCAUUGGGUGUUAGUGGCAUUGGAGAUGAAGAAAAUGAUUGCAUAUUACCUUGAUCCAAUGGCCUGUCAACCAUGUGAUGAUCUUAAGGACAUAGUUAACAUGGCAAUGAGAAUCAACCCACCGGAAAAACAGAAAACAUCAAAGAGGGAGCCAACUUGGGUGAAAGUGGUUUUGGCAGUGUUUUCAAUAUGGAUCAUUUUGGGGGUUGCUCUAUUAUGAUUGAUGUAUAGUUGGCAUAUUGAGA